rnacentral:rRNA from 1 species
CCCUUAGAUGUUCUGGGCCGCACGCGCGCUACACUGAUCGGUGCAACAAGCAUCCGUCCUUGGCCGACAGGCCCGGGCAAUCUUUGAACGCCGGUCGUGAUGGGGAUAGACCUUUGCAAUUUUUGGUCUUCAACGAGGAAUUCCUAGUAAACGCAAGUCAUCAACUUGCAUUGAUUACGUCCCUGCCCUUUGUACACACCGCCCGUCGCACCUACCGAUUGAAUGGUCCGGUGAAACCUCCGGAUUGGCGCGUGCCCUCGGGCGCCGCCGAGAAGUUGGUUAAACCUUACCAUUUAGAGGAAGGUGAAGUCGUNACA